AUUGAACGCUGGCGGCAGGCCUAACACAUGCAAGUCGAGCGGAUGAAGGGAGCUUGCUCCUGGAUUCAGCGGCGGACGGGUGAGUAAUGCCUAGGAAUCUGCCUGGUAGUGGGGGAUAACGUCCGGAAACGGGCGCUAAUACCGCAUACGUCCUGAGGGAGAAAGUGGGGGUUCUUCGGACCUCACGCUAUCAGAUGAGCCUAGGUCGGAUUAGCUAGUUGGUGGGGUAAAGGCCUACCAAGGCGACGAUCCGUAACUGGUCUGAGAGGAUGAUCAGUCACACUGGAACUGAGACACGGUCCAGACUCCUACGGGAGGCAGCAGUGGGGAAUAUUGGACAAUGGGCGAAAGCCUGAUCCAGCCAUGCCGCGUGUGUGAAGAGGGUCUUCGGAUUGUAAAGCACUUUAAGUUGGGAGGAAGGGCAGUAAGUUAAUACCUUGCUGUUUUGACGUUACCAACAGAAUAAGCACCGGCUAACUUCGUG
rnacentral:rRNA from 1 species